GAACGAAGGGAGACCGGAGGGAGAAGCAGACUCCCGAGCAAAGAGCCGACAUGGGAUGAGAUCCCAGGAACCCGAGAUCGUGACUUGAGCCGAAGGCUUAACGGACUGAGCCGCCCUGACACCCCAGCGUGUGACUCUUGACCUCAGGGUUGGGAGUACAAGACCCACGCUGGGCACAGACAUUACUUAAAAAUAAGUAAGUGCAUGAAAGAACGAAGUGGCAUUAGAGACAAGUUUUCUGUUUGUCCUUUACCGCACAGCCCUUGUAAAUUGCUCUAUCGGUUUUAUUAUGUUUACAAGAUUUAGAAGAGGACGCUCUUCUUCAGCUCCUACCUAAAUGAAGAAAUCCCCCUGCACCUGCUCCAGCUCGUGACCUCAGCCCACAUCAGUUCUUUCCACGCCCUCCUGAAAGUCUCUGGAGCAUGUAGGCUUCACCACCAGGCUCCUCACAGCUGAAGCUGUCUUCAUGGCACCUGCUCCUGGUCCCUCAUCAGUCCUUCCCAGCUGCUGCUUCUCUGCACAUGUAAGCACUCCUCCUGUCAUCUCAGUGAAAUAUACCACCAGCAGAGGCUUCAGAAUCAACUGAAGAACUUGGAGAACUUUUCAUAAACAUAGCACUUAAGCUCCAUGGAUCUUCUAUGUCAGAAUCUUCCAGGGUGGGGCAUGGCCAUUGAUUUUUAAAGAGCUUCAGCAGCAGUUCUGUUGUCAACCCAAGCUUGCUGCGAAUCUUCACUUGGAAACACCCUUCUCUACCCACACCAAGCUUAUCUCAAACUAAUUCAUCACUCUUUCUCCAAAACUGAUCCUUCUCCUGUCUUUUAUGUUUCUAUUACUACUAUACCUAGGUAAAUUAUCUAGGCCUAAAACACCAACUAGAAAUUCCUUUUUCCUUAUUACUGAACUGCAAGUUGGAGGACAUGUAAUGAAGCUAUUUCCAGACCUAUUUUAUCUUACUAGGCUAUAACUUCGUUGAUAGUUAUUACACUUUUUUUUUUAAAGAUUUUAUUUAUUUAUUCGACAGAGAUA